rnacentral:tRNA from 1 species
CAAGUUAAGUUCUAGGAAUAUUGUUAUUUACAAUAAUAAUUAGAUUGUGCAAUUCAUUCUGGCUUGA